ACGACCGGCGCACGGGUGAGUAACACGUAUGCAACCUACCUAUAACAGGGGGAUAGCCCGAAGAAAUUCGGAUUAAUACCGCAUAAUAUUUUAUAUCCAUAAGGGUAUAAAUUUAAAGAUUAUCGGUUAUAGAUGGGCAUGCGUUCCAUUAGCUAGUUGGUAAGGUAAUAGCUUACCAAGGCAACGAUGGAUAGGGGAACUGAGAGGUUUAUCCCCCACACUGGUACUGAGACACGGACCAG
rnacentral:rRNA from 1 species